AGCUGCUGCACGCUCCACUGCACCUACGACCACUCAUUCGCAGUGAGAGCUGGAAGACUCUGGAAUGUUCUCCCCAAAAUUGUCAAUACUCAAAGGACUUUGACAAGCUUCAAGACAUCUCUUGGAAACUUCCUAGACACCCUUCCAGACAAGCCCCCUACUCCUGGAUACAGUGCAGAAAACUCUAACUCAAUAAUAGACUGGUGCAGUCAAGGAGGUGGUCCGCAGAUUGCGUGAUGGCCGUGAAGAUGCCUACUUCUAAACCCAUCAAUAGGUUCAAUAGCUAACUCGAAAUCUCUAACAAUGCCUUGUAAAUGCGGAGAAACUUGUCUGACCGGCUGUGAAACCUGCUGUAGCUGUGAUGAGGGCUGCAAAUGUGGAACCAAGUGCUGCCCUUGCUGCACCUGUGCUGACGCAUAAACAGAAAGAUAGACGCCCUGUAUCGAGAAAUGGAGACAAGCUACCAUGGAGACACGUCUUGAAGAAGACAUGUCAUCCUGGAGACAAAUCACCAUGGAGACUAGUCACUUUUGAGAAGCAGGGAAAUUAAGAUGCAUGCUGCAUUAUGGCUAGACAAUUUUGACGAGAUGAGACAAUUUUUUGCUCGAUAAUUAUGUUUCUAAUAUACGAAAUUUAUUUUCUAGAAAAUUUUUAAGGUUCCGUUUUUCUUGACUUAUAUAAAGAAAUGUGAAUUAUUUCAUUGAUCCUUUUUUUGCCAAAUGUAAAUUUGAAACUUUAAA